rnacentral:rRNA from 1 species
AUUGAACGCUGGCGGCAUGCCUAACACAUGCAAGUCGAACGGCAGCACGACCUAGCUUGCUAGGUUGGUGGCGAGUGGCGCACGGGUGAGUAAUGCGUAGGAAUAUACCUUAAAGUGGGGGACAACCUGGGGAAACUCAGGCUAAUACCGCAUGAGCUCUAAGGAGGAAAGCUGGGGACCUUUCGGGGCUUGGCGCUUUAAGAAUAGCUUACGUCCGUUUAGUUAGUUGGUGGGGUAAAGGCUUACCAAGACGAUGAUCGGUAGCUGGUCUGGGAGGAUGAGCAGCCAUAGUGGGACUGAGACGCGGCCCAGACUGCGGCGGGGGGCAGCAGUGGGGAAUAUUGGAAGAUGGGGGGAACCUUGAUCCAGCGAUGCCGCGUGUGUGAAGAAGGCCUGCGGGUUGUAAAGCACUUUCGGUGGGAAGGAGGACUUAUAGGUUAAGAGCUAAUGAGUUGGACGUUACCGACAUAAGAAGCACCGGCUAACUCCGUGCCAGCCGCCGCCGUAA